UCGGCAACGGAUAUCUCGGCUCUUACAUCGAUGAAGAACGUAGCAAAAUGCGAUACUUGGUGUGAAUUGCAGAAUCCCGUGAACCAUCGAGUCUUUGAACGCAAGUUGCGCCCGAAUCCAUCCGGUCGAGGGCACGUCUGCCUGGGUGUCACGUACACACGCCUCCCGCCGACCUUCCCCUUUUAUGGACGAAGGGACGCGCGGGAGCAGAUAUUGGUAUCCCGUGCUC
rnacentral:rRNA from 1 species